GAUUUGUGGUCAGAGGUGAGUUGGUAGGAGACAUGCAUUCUUUGGGUCCCAAGAAGUCUUUUGGAAAGAGGAAAUUAUCCUUCUUCUUCAAGCUUGGAGGCAGGAAAAAACCGCCUCAAGAUGGUGUGGACCGCCUCAAGAUGGCGAUGGUGAGGCCAGCCUCAAGCCCGAGUCAUGGGACCUGCACCAUGUGAACUGUAAAAUGCCUGCGCCAUUGCCUGUGCCAUGUGAAAUGUAAAAUGCCCAUACCAUGUGAAACUCCUCUGCCAUGCGCCACUUCAAUCCUCAGGCUUCACUCUUAGGCGGACCUGUCAGGUGUCAUGCAAUCAUGUAAGUGAUUACUGAUUGGCUACUGUUACUACGUGCGCCUAGCUCUGAUUGGGUGCCCUGCGCCAGUGUGGGGUUCCGCCGUACCAAUAAAGCUGGCAGGGCAGCCCAGGAUUGGGGCGCUGCAGUCACUUGCACCCCAUCGGGGUGAACGGGCUGCUUGCCGCUUUCCCACUGUC